AUUGAACGCUGGCGGCAUGCCUUACACAUGCAAGUCGAACGGCAGCACGGGUGCUUGCACCUGGUGGCGAGUGGCGAACGGGUGAGUAAUACAUCGGAACAUGUCCUGUAGUGGGGGAUAGCCCGGCGAAAGCCGGAUUAAUACCGCAUACGAUCUUCGGACUAAAGCGGGGGACCUUCGGGCCUCGCGCUAUAGGGUUUGCAGAUGGCUGAUUAGCUAGUGGGUGGGGUAAAGGGCUACCAAGGCGCCGAGCAGUAGCUGGUCUGAGAGGACGACCAGCCACACUGGGACUGAGACACGGCCCAGACUCCUACGGGAGGCAGCAGUGGGGAAUUUUGGACAAUGGGCGAAAGCCUGAUCCAGCAAUGCCGCGUGUGUGAAGAAGGCCUUCGGGUUGUAAAGCACUUUUGUCCGGAAAGAAAUCCUUGGCCCUAAUACGGUCGGGGGAUGACGGUACCGGAAGAAUAAGCACCGGCUAACUACGUG
rnacentral:rRNA from 1 species